AUGGGCGAACAACGGGAAUUGAACCCGCGCAUGGUGGAUUCACAAUCCACUGCCUUGAUCCACUUGGCUACAUCCGCCCCUUAUCCAGCUAAAGGAUUUUUUCUUUUUUCCAUUGAUCAUUAUUCUAUUUAUUCUGACCUCCGUACUUCGAUCGAGAUAUUGGACAUAGAAUGCCAAUCUUUAAAAAGGAAAAAAAGGAGUAAUCAGCUGUGA
rnacentral:tRNA from 1 species